rnacentral:rRNA from 1 species
UACAGAGGUGGCAAGCGUUGUUCGGAAUUACUGGGCGUAAAGGGCGCGUAGGCGGUCUUGUAAGUCCUGUGUGAAAUCCCUCGGCUCAACUGAGGAACUGCACAGGAAACUGCGAGGCUUGAGUUCGGGAGAGGGAAGUGGAAUUCCGGGUGUAGCGGUGAAAUGCGUAGAUAUCCGGAGGAACACCGGUGGCGAAGGCGGCUUCCUGGACCGACACUGACGCUGAUGCGCGAAAGCUAGGGGAGCAAACGGG